rnacentral:rRNA from 1 species
UACGGAAGGCAGCAGUGGGGAAUAUUGCACAAUGGGCGAAAGCCUGAUGCAGCUAUGCCGCGUGUAUGAAGAAGGCCUUAGGGUUGUAAAGUACUUUCAUCGGGGAGGAAAAAACAAAACUAAUAAUUUUAUUUCUUGACGUUACCCGAAAAAGAAGCACCGGCUAACUCCGUGCCAGCAGCCGCGGUAAUACGGAGGGUGCUAGCGUUAAUCAGAAUUACUGGGCGUAAAGAGCACGUAGGUGGUUUUUUAAGUCAGAUGUGAAAUCCCUGGGCUUAACCUAGGAACUGCAUUUUGAAACUGAAAUACUAGAGUAUCGUAGAGGGAGGUAGAAUUCUAGGUGUAGCGGUGAAAUGCGUAGAUAUCUGGAGGAAUACCUGUGGCGAAAGCGGCCUCCUAAACGAAUACUGACACUGAGGUGCGAAAGCGUUGGGGAGCAAACAGGGAUUAGAUACCCGU